UUAGAAGCGAAAUACAUUGAAAAGGAAGAUAAGGACAGGAGAGGAACAUAAAUGUAUUAGUGGAAGAGAAGACCACACAAAAGAAAAGUACCAGUGCAUUUGAUGAAAUGGAGAUUACAGCAAAAGUAAGGAAAUCUAAAGGAGAAGAAAAAUCUGGGCCAUCAAUAUCUUCUUCCACCUUAGAGUCAAAUCUAAAAAACAGCGUCCUUGAUGGCACCUCUGAUUUUGCUACAAUUGUGCCACCAAUCCCCUCAAUUGGUCUAUAACCAGCUUUGAACCAUGAGAUUGAUACCACCUCAAUGCGAAAUAGUGGAGUUUCUUACGUGGAGAGUAACGUCUCUGAUACUUUACUAACAAGAUAUGAUGAGUAUCCAGAUCUAAUAGUUGAGCCGGAUGGAAGACCACCCAAAGACGAUUUUAAUAUUAUUUCUGGCCGAUUUAUUGUGGACGGCAAACAUCUUGUGCAAGAAUUAAGAUCUUUG